rnacentral:rRNA from 1 species
AUGACAAUCAUUAGCUGGAACUGCCGGGGCCUGGGGCAGCCCCGGACAGUUAAGGAGCUCGUGUGCCUAGUGCACACGUACCGUCCUUCGAUCGUCUUCAUAUCUGAAACUAGGAAAAGCGAGGAGUAUGUAAAUAAACUACGUAGGAGACUAGGUCUCAAGCACUAUAUUGCCCAUGUUGGAAAAGGGAAGGGUGCAGGAAUCGCUCUCUUC